rnacentral:lncRNA from 1 species
UUUAUUUGUCUAGCUUCUUUCUUAACGUAUAUUUUUCUAAAAAAAUCAUUUAUUUUAAGAUUUUUUUUUAAUUUUCUAAAUACAUGUUGACAUUGUCAUUGUACAACCCAUUUUGCCCGGGCCCAGGCAAGCAAAAAAAAAUACCAGUCCAUUACAAUUAAAUAACCAAUAGACCCAAAAUGGCCCAAUAAUAAAAAACCCUAACAGCCCAAAAUGGCCCAAAUUUAAACUAUAUUAGCAAAAAAAAAAACAGGAAAAGAAACCCUAGCCGCGGCUCCUCCUAGCCUCUGCCACCACCCACUCUUCUGCAACCUCACUACCUGCCCUCUGUCGCCGCCGCAACUGCCAUCAACCACUUCCAUCAACUACCUGCAAAGACAGACAACAACAUGCAAGAGAAACAAUAGAAAAAUAGGGAAGAGGGAGUUGUAAAUGGCUAUAAAAGCCAUCUAAACCGAUUGUAAAAGGGAGGAUUUUUUGG